GCGCUCUGUGGAGUUACAUAGAGAGAGACUGUAACAUGAGGCUGUGGCUGAGUGCAGCAGUAUAUAUCUGUGUAGCAGGUCUUUCCAGGGCAGACAGUGUCAACCAAGCAACAACCUCUUAUGUGACUUUUGAUGGGGAUGAUAUAACAUUGAACUGUACGUAUGAGACAGCUGACAGCAACCCAUAUCUCCACUGGUACAUUCAACAACCAGGAGAGAGACUUCAGUUUAUAUUACUGAGAGAUCGUUACAGCAAGGUAGAGGCUGAACCUGGUACCCGGUAUGCAUCUAAACUGGAUAGAGAGACCACAUUCAUCUACCUGAAGAUUUCUGAUAUCACGGUGUCUGACUCUGGGGUGUAUUAUUGUGCUCUGAGUGACACAGUGUCUGUGUCUGCAGACUGCACUGUACAAGAAGCUCUGACUCUGCCCAAGGUGCUGAUACAUGUCUCGGCUUUGAACUGAGUUGUGAAUAGAUUUUAUUAUUCAAGAAGCUAUUCACAAUUGCAAAUGCAAA